CUACACGUGGGGCCUCAGAAAAGACUCAGAAUCCUUGACGCAGUUGCCCGAACCCGGAGCUAAGUUACCCGCAGGGCCAUUGGAAGCCCUCCCUGGCUUUAGGUUUCUCCUCCAGUGGAACCGGUAUGGUUUCUAGUGGUAAUAGACGUGUCAUCCAAAAUCUUGCAGUCCCCGCAGGCCUCCCUCUUAAUGAGACAACACUUGCAGCCUUGCUAAAGAAGCAAGGAUACAGCACGGGGCUUAUAG
rnacentral:lncRNA from 1 species